CCUACGGGUGGCAGCAGUGAGGCAUAUUGGUCAAUGGGCGGGAGCCUGAACCAGCCAAGUCGCGUGAAGGAAGAAGGUACUUAGUAUUGUAAACUUCUUUUGUCGGGGAACAAAGGCGGAGACGCGUCUCCGGAUGAGUGUCCCCGAAGAACAAGCAUCGGCUAACUCCGUGCCAGCAGCCGCGGUAAUACGGGGGAGGCGAGCGUUAUCUGAAUUGAUUGGGGUUAAAGGGAGCGCAGGCGGGUGAUCAAGUCAGCGGUAAAAUGCCGGGGCUCAACCCCGGCCGGCCGUUGAAACUGGUAUUCUAGAGUUGCAGAGAGGUGUGCAGAAUUCGUGGUGUAGCGGUGAAAUGCAUAGAUAUCACGAAGAACUCCGAUUGCGAAGGCAGCAUACCGGCUCCAUACUGACGCUGAGGCACGAAAGCGUGGGGAUCGAACAGGAUUAGAUACCCGGGUAGUC
rnacentral:rRNA from 1 species